rnacentral:rRNA from 1 species
GUGCCAGACUCCUACGGGAGGCAGCAGUGGGGGAUAUUGCACAAUGGGGGGAACCCUGAUGCAGCGACGCCGCGUGGGUGAAGGAGCGUUUCGGCGCGUAAAGCCCUAUCGGCAGGGAAGAAGGAGGACGGUACCUGACUAAGAAGCCCCGGCUAACUACGUGCCAGCAGCCGCGGUAAUACGUAGGGGGCAAGCGUUAUCCGGAUUUACUGGGUGUAAAGGGAGCGUAGGCGGCUGUGUAAGCCAGAAGUGAAAGCCCGGGGCUCAACUCCGGGACUGCUUUGGGAACUGUACGGCUGGAGUGCAGGAGAGGUAAGUGGAAUUCCUAGUGUAGCGGUGAAAUGCGUAGAUAUUAGGAGGAACACCAGUGGCGAAGGCGGCUUACUGGACUGUAACUGACGUUGAGGCUCGAAAGCGUGGGGAGCAAACAGGAUUAGAUACCCGCGUAA